UUUCCGUAGGUGAACCUGCGGAAGGAUCAUUGUCGAAGCCUGCCCAGCAGAACAACCCGCGAACUUGUAUACACAACCGGAGGCAGGGGCGAUCUCGCCCCGUGCCCUCGAACGCCAGGGAGACACUCGUGCCUUCUUGUCGAACAACGAACCCCGGCGCGGUCUGCGCCAAGGAACUUCAAUUAAAGAGUGCCUCCGGUCGCCUCGGAGACGAUGCGCGUGUCGGAUGCGAAUCUUGUACAAAACCAUAACGACUCUCGGCAACGGAUAUCUCGGCUCUC
rnacentral:misc_RNA from 1 species